CAGGUCACCUGCAGCCACGAGAGGACGUAUUCGCCAGAGCCUUCUCUAUUCAGAUUGCCCCAGGCGUUUCAGGAGACCGACAUCAGAUAAGCUACCGGUUGAGGAGCAUGCGGAUGAGGUAAGCGGCAGGGAGUUUGAAGCCCUGACACUUGAUCAAUCACGCCCUACACCUAAGUCAACUCACAGGCAAGCUGGAACUGCAACCCAUGUUCGGCAAAGUGUUCUAUAUUCAGGCCGCCUCAGGAGGCCCCAUGGUAGACGAGAACAAGAACCAUCACCGAAUGAGC